AUUGAACGCUGGCGGCAGGCCUAACACAUGCAAGUCGAACGAGUGGCGGAAGGGUGAGUAAUGUCUGGGACACUGCCAGAUGGAGGGGGAUAACUACUGGAAACGGUAUCUAAUACCGCAUAACAUCAGAUGUGCCCAGAUGGGAUUAGCUAGUUGGUGGGGUAACGGCGACACAAGGCGACGAUCCCUAGAUGGUCUGAGAGGAUGACCAGCCAAACGGGAAAUGAGACAGGGUCCAGACUCCUACGGGAGGCAGCAGGGGGGAAUAUUGCACAAUGGGCGCAAGCCUGAUGCAGCCAUGCCGCGUGUAUGAAGAAGGCCUUCGGGUUGUAAAGUACUUUCAGCGGGGAGGCGUUACCCGCAGAAGAAUCACCGGCUAACUCCGUGCCAGCAGCCGCGGUAAUUC
rnacentral:rRNA from 1 species